GAAAGCUUGCUGGAACGGGGGGAACAAUUGUGAGCUGCUGUGAUUCCAAAGGAAAUGUCAUAUUGCAAAGUGGCUGUUAGAUAACUGUAAACAUCAUUAAGCAUAAGCAAAGAGGUGUGUGUGGGAGCCAGAAAAAACGAGGAUCGUCUGGACUUCACUCGGUGCAGCACGUGCUGUUCUACACAAGCAAGAAUGGCAAUAUUCAUACAAAUUACGUUUCGUUAACAACAGAUUCAUGUACCAAAAGCAACAAUGCUCGGAGCUGAGGCUGAGCUGCUCUCUGUGCAGCCUCCCCCUGCAGCAUUGACGCCGUAUCACCCUGCGCCGGUCAGAUGGGUUAAAAUGCUUUGAAGGACCUCAGCUUCGACCAUCUCGGUAACAACGUGGGAUUGAUCCUCCCCCUUUUAUGGACAAUUGCUAAGCUCUGAAAGACAUGCUUCAAGCCUUGAGCUGCUUCUUCACUUCUUGCUGGCAGACAGAGACCAGUGCACUACGAGAGUGGUUCUUAACAAGGACUUCAGUUGUGUCUCAAGACAGGCAAUGAGCUCGCAAACUGGCUGCUGAGAUCAGCUGCAAAGGAAGAAAGCCAUCCUGCCAGCAGGAAACCACACGUGUGAAGCUGGGAGCUCGGGGAUAAUGACAACAUCGGCAGCUGGCACUGCGGGCACGUCAGUCUGUAUACUCAGCUACGAUAGAAAGAAGGACGGUGAUGUCAUCUGGUUUCCCCCCUGUAAUAUAAGAAGAAUAAAAGCACGAUGUCAA
rnacentral:lncRNA from 1 species